GGUAUUUUGACCGUGCAAAGGUAGCAUAAUCAUUAGUUUUUUAAUUGAAAGCUGGAAUGAAAGGUUGGAUGAGAAAUAAGCUGUCUCUAUUUAAUUUUAUUAGAAUUUUAUUUUUAAGUAAAAAAGCUUAAAUUUUGAUAGAAGACGAGAAGACCCUAUAGAGUUUUAUUUAUUUUUUAAAUAAAAUUAAUAGUAUUAAUUAUUUUUAUUUAAAAAAUAAAUUUAAUUGGGGUGAUUGAAAAAUUUGAUAAACUUUUUUUGUAUAUAUACAUUGAUAUAUGGUUAAUUGAUCCUUAAUUUAAGAUUAAAAGAUAAAAUUACCUUAGGGAUAACAGCGUAAUUUUUUUUGAGAGUUCAAAUCGAAAAAAAAGAUUGCGACCUCGAUGUUGGAUUAAAAUAAAAUUUUGGUGUAGAAGCUAAAA
rnacentral:rRNA from 1 species